UACGUAGGGUGCGAGCGUUGUCCGGAAUUACUGGGCGUAAAGAGCUCGUAGGUGGUUUGUCGCGUUGUCCGUGAAAACUCACAACUCAAUUGUGGGCGUGCGGGCGAUACGGGCAGACUGGAGUUCGGCAGGGGAGACUGGAAUUCCUGGUGUAGCGGUGAAAUGCGCAGAUAUCAGGAGGAACACCGGUGGCGAAGGCGGGUCUCUGGGCCGAUACUGACGCUGAGGAGCGAAAGCGUGGGGAGCGAACAGG
rnacentral:rRNA from 1 species